UGCUUAACACAUGCAAGUCACGGGUGGCCCGCAAGGGUAACCGGCGAACGGGUGCGUAACACGUGAGCAACCUGCCUUAGUGUGGGGGAUAGCCGGCCCAACGGCCGGGUAAUACCGCAUACGAUCAUUUGGGGGAGUCCCCGAAUGAGGAAACCUCCGGGGCACUAAGAGGGGCUCGCGGCCUAUCAGCUAGUUGGCGAGGUAACGGCUCACCAAGGCGACGACGGGUAGCUGGUCUGAGAGGAUGGCCAGCCACAUUGGGACUGAGAUACGGCCCAGACUCCUACGGGAGGCAGCAGUGGGGAAUAUUGCGCAAUGGCCGAAAGGCUGACGCAGUGACGCCGCGUGGGGGAUGAAGCUUUUCGGAGUGUAAACCCCUGUUGCCCGGGACGAACCUCCUCUUUCGAGAGGACUGACGGUACCGGGUGAGGAAGCACCGGCUAACUCCGUGCCAGCAGCCGCGGUAAUACGGAGGGUGCGAGCGUUGUCCGGAAUCACUGGGCGUAAAGGGCGCGUAGGCGGCAUGGCAAGUCAACGGUGAAAGCCCGGGGCUCAACCCCGGGUCGGCCGUCGAUACUGCUGUGCUCGAGCACUGUAGAGGCAGGUGGAAUUCC
rnacentral:rRNA from 1 species